AUUCAGGAGAACAUGGAAGAGCAA
rnacentral:snRNA from 1 species